rnacentral:rRNA from 1 species
GACGAACGCUGGCGGCGUGCCUAAUACAUGCAAGUAGAACGCUGAAGGAGGAGCUUGCUUCUCUGGAUGAGUUGCGAACGGGUGAGUAACGCGUAGGUAACCUGCCUGGUAGCGGGGGAUAACUAUUGGAAACGAUAGCUAAUACCGCAUAAGAGUAGAUGUUGCAUGACAUUUGCUUAAAAGGUGCAAUUGCAUCACUACCAGAUGGACCUGCGUUGUAUUAGCUAGUUGGUGGGGUAACGGCUCACCAAGGCGACGAUACAUAGCCGACCUGAGAGGGUGAUCGGCCACACUGGGACUGAGACACGGCCCAGACUCCUACGGGAGGCAGCAGUAGGGAAUCUUCGGCAAUGGACGGAAGUCUGACCGAGCAACGCCGCGUGAGUGAAGAAGGUUUUCGGAUCGUAAAGCUCUGUUGUAAGAGAAGAACGAGUGUGAGAGUGGAAAGUUCACACUGUGACGGUAUCUUACCAGAAAGGGACGGCUAACUACGUGCCAGCAGCCGCGGUAAUACGUAGGUGGCAAGCGUUAUCCGGAUUUAUUGGGCGUAAAGAGAGUGCAGGCGGUUUUCUAAGUCUGAUGUGAAAGCCUUCGGCUUAACCGGAGAAGUGCAUCGGAAACUGGAUAACUUGAGUGCAGAAGAGGGUAGUGGAACUCCAUGUGUAGCGGUGGAAUGCGUAGAUAUAUGGAAGAACACCAGUGGCGAAGGCGGCUACCUGGUCUGCAACUGACGCUGAGACUCGAAAGCAUGGGUAGCGAACAGG